rnacentral:rRNA from 1 species
GAAUCAACGCUGGCGGCGUGCCUCAGACAUGCAGGUCGAACGCGAAAGGCUCCUUCGGGGGCCGAGUAGAGUGGCGCACGGGUGAGUAACACGUAGGUAAUUUGCCUUUGGGUUGGGGAAUAACUCAGGGAAACUUGAGCUAAUACCGCAUAAUGCAGCGGCUCGACAUCGAGACAGUUGUUAAAGCGGGGGAUCGCAAGACCUCGCGCCUGAAGAGAAGCCUGCGGCAGAUUAGCUAGUUGGUAGGGUAAUGGCCUACCAAGGCGACGAUCUGUAACCGGCCUGAGAGGGCGGUCGGUCACACUGACACUGACAUACGGGUCAGACUCCUACGGGAGGCAGCAGUCGGGAAUUUUGGGC